CCAAUAGCGUAUAUUAAAGUUGUUGCAGUUAAAAAGCUCGUAGUUGAAUUUCGGGGUUAGUAGGCUGGUCAUGCCUCCGGUAUGUACUGGUCUCACUGAUUCCUCCUUCCUGAUGAACCGUAAUGCCAUUAAUUUGGUGUUGCGGGGAAUUUGGACUGUUACUUUGAAAAAAUUAGAGUGUUUAAAGCAGGCUAACGCCUGAAUACAUUAGCAUGGAAUAAUGAAAUAGGACGUUCGAUCCUAUUUUGUUGGUUUCUAGGAUUGACGUAAUGAUUAAUAGGGAUAGUUGGGGGCAUUAGUAUUCAAUUGUCAGAGGUGAAAUUCUUGGAUUUAUUGAAGACUAACUACUGCGAAAGCAUUUGCCAAGGAUGUUUUCAUUAAUCAAGAACGAAAGUUAGGGGAUCGAAGACGAUCAGAUACCGUCGUAGUCUUAACCAUAAACUAUGCCGACUAGGGAUCGGAUGAUGUUAAUUUUUUAAUGACUCAUUCGGCGCCUUACG
rnacentral:rRNA from 1 species